UUGGGGUGUUCUGCUCUGGCGGCAGCGGCGGCGGGACGCGGAGGCUCCCACGGGAUUCGGCCUCAGUAGCGAGGCGGCGGCGGCAGCGGCGGCUGCGGAGGCACAGGCAGCAGCUGAGGCAGCGGCGGGCUCAGGUGCAGCCGCUGGCUGAACAUAACUUCUUUUUUUCAAAGUUCCCUGUGUUGUGAACUGAGCUUGGGUGAAGUGAAAUCUUUGAGGUAAGGCAACUAUAAUGAUAAAAAUGGAAAGAAAGCCUGUGAAAUUUGGGAGCCUUCAGAGAUAACAUUUUAGAGUCACUGCCUAAAUAUUGAAAUGCCACCAUUUGUUGUUUGGGGGGAUGUGGAGCUAAAUUGAGAACGGGAGCACACAUCUGCCUUGACUGCUAAGUAUAUCCAUCUCUACUGC
rnacentral:lncRNA from 1 species